UACGUAGGGGGCAAGCGUUGUCCGGAAUCAUUGGGCGUAAAGCGCGUGUAGGCGGCUCGAUAAGUCCGUUCUGAAAGUCCAGGGCUCAACCCUGGGAUGCGGAUGGAUACUGUCGAGCUCGAGUCCGGAAGAGGCGAGUGGAAUUCCUGGUGUAGCGGUGAAAUGCGCAGAUAUCAGGAGGAACACCGGUGGCGAAGGCGGGUCUCUGGGCCGUAACUGACGCUGAGGAGCGAGAGCGUGGGGAGCGAACAGG
rnacentral:rRNA from 1 species